rnacentral:lncRNA from 1 species
AAAAAAAAAAGAACACACAGGGGCGCCCCCAUCAAAACCCACAGCAGACGUGCUGUAUCGGACCACAUACUGCGUGCGUGGUGGUCAAAGACAUGAAGUUGAACUCUCAUGGGUCUAUCAAGUUGAGAACCAAAACCCCCAAUUUUUAAAAGGAAUCGGUAACACUCACUACCUCUGAGGAUGUACGGAGACAGUCAUUCCUGAUGGGACCAAACAUUGGCCCUUCCUUUUUAUAAAGCAAUUUGGCAAUAAUGUCAAGAACCUUUAGAAG